CUCCAUAUUACAAUACAGUGAAUCAAAGCGCGGCCUAAUAAAAAUCGCGAAUCGGGCUGGUCUGGGCAGUCGCACGCGAGCUCUCGUGUGUUUCUUUAGGUCGCUACCCGUGCUUUGAUUUUCUUCCUUUUUUUUCUAUUUGCUUUUUACUGGUUUUUCGGUUUUUCGGUUUUGUUAUAUGUUGUUUAUCUUGGUUUUCUCAGUGGUUUUCUUCUAUUUUUUCUUUAUUCAUCAUAAUUAUAGAAUUUCAAAGUUUUCUUCGUAUUUUUAGGUCUUAUUUCUUCUUCAGCUGUUUUAAAUUGCUUGUUCUUCCAAGCACAUGUCUAA
rnacentral:lncRNA from 1 species